rnacentral:rRNA from 1 species
CCCUUAGAUGUUCUGGGCCGCACGCGCGCUACACUGAUGCAUUCAACAAGCCUAGCCUUGACCGAGAGGUCCGGGUAAUCUUUGAAACUGCAUCGUGAUGGGGCUAGAUUAUUGCAAUUAUUAAUCUUCAACGAGGAAUGCCUAGUAAGCGUGAUUCAUCAAAUCGCGUUGAUUACGUCCCUGCCCUUUGUACACACCGCCCGUCGCUCCUACCGAUUGAAUGUGUUGGUGAGGAGCUCGGAUUGGCAGCAAUUGGUGGUUCGCCACCGGCUAUUGCUGAGAAGUCCUCCAAACCGCCCCAUUUAGAGGAAGGAGAAGUCGUAACA